UAUAUAUAUGUGGUUUUUUUUCCUGGUGUC
rnacentral:piRNA from 1 species